GUGGGGAAUAUUGCACAAUGGGCGAAAGCCUGAUGCAGCGACGCCGCGUGAGGGAUGGAGGCCUUCGGGUUGUAAACCUCUUUCGCUCAUGGUCAAGCCGCAGCUUUGGGUUGUGGUGAGGGUAGUGGGUAAAGAAGCACCGGCUAACUACGUGCCAGCAGCCGCGGUAAUACGUAGGGUGCGAGCGUUGUCCGGAAUUAUUGGGCGUAAAGGGCUUGUAGGCGGUUUGUCGCGUCUGCCGUGAAAUCCUCUGGCUUAACUGGGGGCGUGCGGUGGGUACGGGCAGGCUUGAGUGCGGUAGGGGAGACUGGAACUCCUGGUGUAGCGGUGGAAUGCGCAGAUAUCAGGAAGAACACCGGUGGCGAAGGCGGGUCUCUGGGCCGUUACUGACGCUGAGGAGCGAAAGCGUGGGGAGCGAACAGGAUUAGAUACCCUUGUAGUCC
rnacentral:rRNA from 1 species